UACGUAGGGGGCAAGCGUUGUCCGGAUUUAUUGGGCGUAAAGAGCGUGUAGGCGGCCAGGUAGGUCAGCUGUGAAAACUCGAGGCUCAACCUCGAGACGUCGGUUGAAACCACCUGGCUAGAGUCCGGAAGAGGAGAGUGGAAUUCCUGGUGUAGCGGUGAAAUGCGUAGAUAUCAAGAGGAACACCAGUGGCGAAGGCGAGUCUCUGGACGGCAACUGACGCUGAGGCACGAAAGCGUGGGGAGCAAACAGG
rnacentral:rRNA from 1 species